rnacentral:rRNA from 1 species
GUUUGAUCAUGGCUCAGAUUGAACGCUGGCGGAAUGCUUUACACAUGCAAGUCGAACGGCAGCACGGAGAGCUUGCUCUCUGGUGGCGAGUGGCGAACGGGUGAGUAAUAUAUCGGAACGUGUCCAAUAAUGGGGGAUAACGAGUCGAAAGAUUCGCUAAUACCGCAUACGCCCUACGGGGGAAAGCAGGGGAUCGUAAGACCUUGCGCUUUUGGAGCGGCCGAUAUCUGAUUAGCUAGUUGGUGAGGUAAAGGCUCACCAAGGCGACGAUCAGUAGCUGGUCUGAGAGGACGACCAGCCACACUGGAACUGAGACACGGUCCAGACUCCUACGGGAGGCAGCAGUGGGGAAUUUUGGACAAUGGGCGCAAGCCUGAUCCAGCCAUUCCGCGUGAGUGAAGAAGGCCUUCGGGUUGUAAAGCUCUUUCAGCCGGGAAGAAAACUUAUGAUCGAAUAAAUCAUGAGGUUGACGGUAACGGAAGAAGAAGCACCGGCUAACUACGUGCCAGCAGCCGCGGUAAUACGUAGGGUGCAAGCGUUAAUCGGAAUUACUGGGCGUAAAGGGUGCGCAGGCGGUUUGGUAAGUCAGAUGUGAAAUCCCCGGGCUCAACCUGGGAACUGCAUCUGAGACUGUCAGACUGGAGUGUGUCAGAGGGGGGUAGAAUUCCACGUGUAGCAGUGAAAUGCGUAGAGAUGUGGAGGAACACCGAUGGCGAAGGCAGCCCCCUGGGAUAACACUGACGCUCAAGCACGAAAGCGUGGGGAGCAAACAGGAUUAGAUACCCUGGUAGUCCACGCCGUAAACGAUGUCUACUAGCCGUUGGGAGGCUUGACCUCUUAGUGGCGCAGCUAACGCAAUAAGUAGACCGCCUGGGGAGUACGGUCGCAAGAUUAAAACUCAAAUGAAUUGACGGGGGCCCGCACAAGCGGUGGAGCAUGUGGUUUAAUUCGAGGCAACGCGAAAAACCUUACCAGGCCUUGACAUCCUGAGAAUUCGCUAGAGAUAGCUUAGUGCCUUCGGGAACUCAGAGACAGGUGUUGCAUGGCUGUCGUCAGCUCGUGUCGUGAGAUGUUGGGUUAAGUCCCGUAACGAGCGCAACCCUUAUCCUUAUUUGCCAGCACGUAAAGGUGGGAACUCUAAGGAGACUGCCGGUGACAAACCGGAGGAAGGAGAGGACGACGUCAAGUCAUCAUGGCCCUUACGGCCUGGGCUACACACGUGCUACAAUGGUCAAUACAGAGGGCCGCAAGACCGCGAGGUGGAGCAAACCCCAGAAAAUUGAUCGUAGUCCGGAUCGGAGUCUGCAACUCGACUCCGUGAAGUCGGAAUCGCUAGUAAUCGCGAAUCAGCAUGUCGCGGUGAAUACGUUCCCGGGCCUUGUACACACCGCCCGUCACAUCAUGGGAGUGGGCUGCAAAAGAAGUGGCUAGUUUAACCUUCGGGAGGACGCUUACCACGGUAGUAUUCAUGACUGGGGUGAAGUCAUAACAAGGUAACCGUA